AGUUUGUAUUAAAGCUUACUUCCACACUUGGAGCCAGGCUGUAGUGGCUUCUUGCAAUAGUCAGCAACAUACACGACCUUCUCCAUGCACACUAUCUUCUCAAUCUCUUUAGUGACCUUGGAGCAUAAACAUGGGACGUUUGCCUUUUGGAUUACGCUACAGCAUGCGUUUGAGGGUUCUAUCUUUGGGUUUGCAGGAUUCAUAACAUAUUUUUGACACUCCAUAAUUAAGUCCUGAAGAUCACGACUGCAACCCUCAUCGGAUUUUGUACCAGCCACCGUAGCCAAUACCAAGGCCAUAACCCAGAACAAACCAUAAAGCUUUCCCAUG
rnacentral:sRNA from 1 species